rnacentral:lncRNA from 1 species
GAACAUCUUGCAUGUUUUGGAUUCUUUUGAUAUUAGAAGUGUAAUAAAUGUUUUAAUACUUUUUUUGUUUGGCAUCUGAAUUUUUCAUUUAUAUAUAUAAAUAAAGAGCAUGUAGAAACAAAAACCUGCAAAAUGAAUUUUCCAUUUAUUUAUCCAUUUUAUUUGAUAUGAAAAAGAAAUUUACCAUUGUAUCAUUCUUUUCCAAAUAGCACCAUUACUAUCUACCAACACGUUUAUUGUCUUCUACCAACUUCGGUAGUGAUAGUAUUGGUGCCUUGCGGUGGUCAUUAUUGUAGCGAGUCAAUGUCGUUUUAUCUGAUAAAUAUACAUCAACCAUCG